AUUGAACGCUGGCGGCAGGCCUAACACAUGCACGUCGAGCGGAGUGGCGGACGGGUGAGUAAUGCCUAGUAAUCUGCCUGGUAGUGGGGGAUAACGUCCGGAAACGGGCGCUAAUACCGCAUACUAUCAGAUGAGCCUAGGUCGGUUUAGCUAGUUGGUGGGGUAAAGGCCUACCAAGGCGACGAUCCGUAACUGGUCUGAGAGGAUGAUCAGUCAAAAUUGAACAGAGACACGGUCCAGACUCCUACGGGAGGCAGCAGGGGGGAAUAUUGGACAAUGGGCGAAAGCCUGAUACAGCCGUGCCGCGUGUGUGAAGAAGGUCUACGGAUUGUAAAGCACUUAAAGUUGGGAAGCGUUACCAACAGAAUAAGCACCAGCUAACUUCGUGCCAGCAGCCGCGGUAAUAC
rnacentral:rRNA from 1 species